rnacentral:rRNA from 1 species
UACAGAGGGGGCAAGCGUUGUUCGGAAUUACUGGGCGUAAAGGGCGCGUAGGCGGCCUUCUAAGUCAGACGUGAAAUCCCUCGGCUCAACCGGGGAACUGCGUCUGAGACUGGAAGGCUUGAAUCCGGGAGAGGGAUGUGGAAUUCCUGGUGUAGCGGUGAAAUGCGCAGAUAUCAGGAGGAACACCAAUGGCGAAGGCAGCUCGCUGGAACGGUACUGACGCUGAGGCGCGAAAGCGUGGGGAGCGAACAGG